CAAGUCGAGCGGACAGAAGGGAGCUUGCUCCCGGAUGUUAGCGGCGGACGGGUGAGUAACACGUGGGUAACCUGCCUGUAAGACUGGGAUAACUCCGGGAAACCGGAGCUAAUACCGGAUAGUUCCUUGAACCGCAUGGUUCAAGGAUGAAAGACGGUUUCGGCUGUCACUUACAGAUGGACCCGCGGCGCAUUAGCUAGUUGGUGAGGUAACGGCUCACCAAGGCGACGAUGCGUAGCCGACCUGAGAGGGUGAUCGGCCACACUGGGACUGAGACACGGCCCAGACUCCUACGGGAGGCAGCAGUAGGGAAUCUUCCGCAAUGGACGAAAGUCUGACGGAGCAACGCCGCGUGAGUGAUGAAGGUUUUCGGAUCGUAAAGCUCUGUUGUUAGGGAAGAACAAGUGCAAGAGUAACUGCUUGCACCUUGACGGUACCUAACCAGAAAGCCACGGCUAACUACGUGCCAGCAGCCGCGGUAAUACGUAGGUGGCAAGCGUUGUCCGGAAUUAUUGGGCGUAAAGGGCUCGCAGGCGGUUUCUUAAGUCUGAUGUGAAAGCCCCCGGCUCAACCGGGGAGGGUCAUUGGAAACUGGGAAACUUGAGUGCAGAAGAGGAGAGUGGAAUUCCACGUGUAGCGGUGAAAUGCGUAGAGAUGUGGAGGAACACCAGUGGCGAAGGCGACUCUCUGGUCUGUAACUGACGCUGAGGAGCGAAAGCGUGGGGAGCGAACAGGAUUAGAUACCCUGGUAGUCCACGCCGUAAACGAUGAGUGCUAAGUGUUAGGGGGUUUCCGCCCCUUAGUGCUGCAGCUAACGCAUUAAGCACUCCGCCUGGGGAGUACGGUCGCAAGACUGAAACUCAAAGGAAUUGACGGGGGCCCGCACAAGCGGUGGAGCAUGUGGUUUAAUUCGAAGCAACGCGAAGAACCUUACCAGGUCUUGACAUCCUCUGACAACCCUAGAGAUAGGGCUUUCCCUUCGGGGACAGAGUGACAGGUGGUGCAUGGUUGUCGUCAGCUCGUGUCCUGAGAUGUUGGGUUAAGUCC
rnacentral:rRNA from 1 species